rnacentral:rRNA from 1 species
GCCCAGACUCCUACGGGAGGCAGCAGUGGGGAAUAUUGCACAAUGGGGGGAACCCUGAUGCAGCGACGCCGCGUGAAGGAAGAAGUAUCUCGGUAUGUAAACUUCUAUCAGCAGGGAAGAAAGAGGACGGUACCUGACUAAGAAGCCCCGACUAACUACGUGCCAGCAGCCGCGGUAAUACGUAGGGGGCAAGCGUUAUCCGGAUUUACUGGGUGUAAAGGGAGCGUAGACGGCGAUGCAAGCCAGAUGUGAAAGCCCGGGGCUCAACCCCGGGACUGCAUUUGGAACUGUGUGGCUGGAGUGUCGGAGAGGCAGGCGGAAUUCCUAGUGUAGCGGUGAAAUGCGUAGAUAUUAGGAGGAACACCAGUGGCGAAGGCGGCCUGCUGGACGAUGACUGACGUUGAGGCUCGAAAGCGUGGGGAGCAAACAGGAUUAGAUACCCGGGUA